rnacentral:snRNA from 1 species
AUACUUACCUGGCAGGGGAGAUACCAUGAUCACGAAGGUGGUUUUCCCAGGGCGAGGCUUAUCCAUUGCACUCCGGAUGUGCUGACCCCUGCGAUUUUCCCAAAUGUGGGAAACUCGACUGCAUAAUUUGUGGUAGUGGGGGACUGCGUUCGCGCUUUCCCCUG